ACUGAAAUAUACAACUAUGUACCGGGGGGCUUUGGGGAGAAGGAAAAAAAAAGAUUGGCAAUAGUUGUUAGCUCAGGUGCCAAUCUUUAAAAAAAAAAAACCAUCUAUUGAGGAGUAGCUAGAAAAAAAGAUGGUUCAACCCUUUUCUCUGCCCACUCACCUCCAAGGGUGGCAGGAAGAGGAGAGUCUGUGCCAGCUCCCUGAUCCCAGGCUAAAGCAGCCCAGAAUCUCAGCCUCAUCCCACCUUUUCUAAGGUCUGGACCCAAAGCAGGGGGUCCAUGCUGAAGGCCAGCAUCAGCCCGUGGGGAUUCUCAAUCCCUGAUGUGGGCAAGAAGGGACCUGCAUCCUGCCGGGCAGUGGAGAUGACCUCACUGAAACCCACAUCGCAGCUUCCUCAGCUUUAGAUCUGCCUCUGAAUAAAGUCACCGCAGUGUAUUGAAUGCAUCUUCAGACCUUGACUCUGGGCUAAGCAUUUUACAGCCUUUGUCACACUUAACUCUCUCAAGAAUCCUACCAAGCAUUCUUGCACCCAUUUUCUAGAUGAGGAAAGUGAAGCUCAGAUAAAUUAAAUGAGUUGUCCAAGAUCAUACAGCCCAUGAGGAGCAGAGUGGAUUUGAACCUAAGUCAAGCGGACUACAGAGUGCAUGGGUUUAACCACCACACUGUAACCUUCCCACUUGAGACUGUUCCAACCCAACAAACAAGUCCCUUUAAAGAAACCUAACUCUUGCCUAAGAGAGCUUUUAGAACCACCUCUAAGAAGUUCCUUUUGGCAAGAAGAUAGAAAGCCUCGAUGGGGUUGGAGCUGUCUCUGAUUUCCAAGCUCCCUUCAGAGUAUCAGAAAGUGGUGCCGAAAGCCUUCACAGGUUCCAUCCUGUGUUUCCGUACCUGGCUCGAAACUGCUCAGCAGAGAGAGAAGGAAAAAAACCCACAAUUUUCCCAGGGAAACACUCAGCUCUAGCUUGAGACGGGGCUUGCCUCGACACGCCGAAGUGAGACCGGCAGCCCAUUCAUUUACCCUUACAAAUUGUUCUGUGAAUACUGGCGCCGGCCUCCCUGCUCUUCCCCCUGCUGGAAACCCCAUCCAGCCUCCACGCUCAGAGAGCGCCAGGCAUCCGCCGAUGUUUACUCACUCAAGUUCAUUCGACAUCUUCCUGCUCCCAGGCUCCCAGGCUCGAGUGAUCAGCACGGAGGCCCUGCUGACCGCUCGUCUCUAAUUCUUGCCUGACACAGACAUUCCCUGCCCAGGGAAGUGUUUGAUUUAUGUUGAGGUUUGAGUGUCGGGAUUUUGCUGACAGGCCCAGAGAGUGGAAGGGACUUGCCAAGGACACAUAGCAAGGUAGUGACAGAGCAGGCCCUGGCUGCAGCCUCCUGAUGCCAACCACCUGGUGCCCAGAGCCACAUCAAUAGUUCUUAGGUGGCCCAGGUGAAUGACUAAUAUAAGCAGAAACGAUCCCCUCGGCCUCCUGGAGGUGAACGUGAUUAAACACAGCAACUUCAGCGUGGCGUACGACGGACAUAAACGUCUCCAUGUCUCCUUGCUGAGCGUGGCUGUGAAACAGUCAGGCGCAAGAUGAAAGGACAGUGACACAGCUGAGGCAGCACUUUGUCUCCACCGUGCCUGCAGCCCAUUUUACUGAGUGUCAAACGCCACGGAAUGAAAAGAAAGAUGUUUUUGUUGACGAGGCCUCCAUCCCCUCACCUCCAACCCCUCCUGGGAGAGCUCAAGGCUGAGUAAAGGGGCCUCUAGUGAAAGCGACCACUCACACCUUCUCAGAAACCAGGAAGCUCAAAAGAGCAGUGAAGAGGGUCUCACAACUUGACGGCUUAACAGAAGCAAAAUGGAAACCCCAUGAGUCAAUCUGAGUCUGCGUGACUCAGGGUCUGGAUGAAAUUGGAAAUGUCACAUGUGGCACGUCCAGAAUGAAGGAGUUUCCUCGUGCUCUGAUGUCUGUAUCUAUGUGGACAGUGAUCUCAGGAUGCUUCAUCAAUCAAGCCUGACAAUAACAACAACAGUGAAUGUGUGGUACCCGACCCUUACUGAACCCUCGUCUAUCCCAGGUACUUAGAGAGAUUACAUAUAGUUUCUUGUCUAGUCCUCACAACAAACCUGGGAGGAAACCCGGGCUCAGAGAGGUGAUGUGACCGCCCAGGAUCACCCAGCAUCAGAGCCAAGAAUCACAGCCAUGGCUGCUGGAUUCCAGAGCCCAGUUUCCUCGCCGUACCAUCACAACCAGAUUCUGGUUCCGUUCAGGAUGCAAACUGGAGUGGAGGUUAAGAUCAUGGGCCAUGGAGCCAGGCAGACCCCGGAGCCUGUCUUGGCCGCUUAAUUUAGGCUGAGUCACUCUGCCUCCUGGAGCCUCAGUUUCCUCGUCUGUAAAAUGGAGGGAAUACUGCUCUUUGUGAGAAUUAAAUGAGGCACUUCACAUAAAGUGCUGAGCACCCGUAGGAAGUCAGUCACCGGGGUGGGGGCGCCUGCUUCUGGGGGCACCCAGGCAGGAGGGUUUGAGGAGGGCCCCAGCAGGGCCCUUAGAGGAGCUGCAGAAAGCAGUGCUGGUCACAUCCACAAUUUCGAUGAAACCUGUAAUUAUAACCCCUCUUGCCACUCCCGGCCCUGGGGCAGUGAUAGGAUCUCUGCCGUUCUCCAGGGUCAGGUCUGAUCACUGCGUGGCUGGGCAGACACAGAUGGGUGGGGAACGGUUGGGGGGGCACUUUCUCUGAGUCAGGCAGCAGGACACACCCAGAACGCACCGUGGGGCACCCACCCAAAGGGAGAAGCUGUAGCAGCCCCUUUCACAGGAGACUCAAUGAGAUCGAAGGCCGUGGAGUUUCUGCCCAGCUUCUGUUUUUUACCCCCAAGAGCUCAUAUGUAAUAUGCUGAAUUUGAGCUCAAUUCAUCUUAAAUAACAGCUCCCGUCCAUUGAAUUCUUACCAUACGCCAGGCUCUGGGCUGGGCACAUUUUAAGCGCGAUCUAAUUUGAUCCUCAAAACAGCCCCGUGGGGUGGUAUCAAUUGCUCAUGUGUAUACAGCAGUUCCUAUGUGCCAGGCACUGUUCUAAGUACUUCACGUGUAUUAAUUUAUGCAAUCCUAUCAGGUGAGUACUAUCAUUAACCCUUUUUUACAGAUGGGAAAACUGAGGCUCAAAGAGGUUAAGUAACCUAACCUGCUCAAGGUCACAGGGCUAGAAAGUGAGGGAGCUAGGCUUCAAAGCAGGACAGUCUGGACCAGGCAUCACACUUACCCCUACGCUGUAAGGCCUCUCCAACCUAUGGACUGCUGUCACUGUCCCCAUUUGGCAGAUGAGAAAACUGAGGCUCAGAGACAAUCCACAGCCAGCCAACGUCAGAGCUGGGAUCUGGCACCAAAGCCCAGAAUGGCCUGCGUCCUGACUGCAGUUGCUCAGCUGGUGUCCUCUCCGGUGGACACGAAUGACAGGAUUGGAGGAGCAGAGCGGGGCGAUUGGCCUUGCCCCUAGGAAUAAUCACAACCCGUUGCCCUGGAGAAGUGCUAUGAGUCUCCUCAUUUUAUGGAUGAGAAAAAUGAGGCCCAGAGAGGGGAGGUCUCUGCCCAGCCAGAGAGCGAUGGGGCUGAGACUUGAACCCCUGACUCUGGACCGAAGCCCAGGCACGUCCCUCCUUCCAGUCAAGGUGUCUGAAAUUCCACUCUAAGGAACUCAUUCUUUUGGGCCCUGAAGGUGUCUGGUCUUCACAUCAGUUAAAAAGUACUUGUUGAGCCAUGACCUUCUCGGCAUCGCACUGAGUCAAGAGUUUUCAAACUUUUGUGGAGGCCCCGGAGCUCUAGGGAGGGUCCCAGGCAGGGUCUGAGAUGACCACACAUGCAGGGGUGUCCUGCCUCGUCCCCCGUCUCUGUCAAGAACAGCUUUCCUUGUAUCUGUUUUAUAUUGAGAGGCACAUAGAUUUUCUUUUGGGGAAAGAAAUCCACCCCUAAAUAUGCUUGAAAAUUACCAUGUUGGAUCCUGGGGACAUAGAGAUGAUAUGACAUGUCCCUGGCCUUGAAGAGCCAUCAGAGGACAGACAUACAAAUCCAUUGCAGCACAGCAGCAAGCUUAGCAACACCCAGGGAGGCAGAAGUGCAGAGACAACUUGAAAGAAGAAGUGGUUAGCUCUGGGGCAAAGGAGGGUGCUGAGCAGUCAGGGGGCGCUUCUGAGAGGAGGGGACAUUGAACCAAGUUUGCAGAGACUGGAUUCUCUGAGCAACCAAGAUGGGAAAGAUCAUUCCAGAUAGAGGGAACAGCAUGGCAAAGGCACAGAGGUGUGAUGAAAAAUGAUGCAUACACUCGUCCCUCGGUAUCCACGGGAGAUUGGUUCCAGGACACUCCUCUGAUACCAAAGUCCGAGGAUGCUCUAGUCCCUUAUAUAAAAUGGCUCAGCAUUUUCAUAUAACCUACGCACAUCCUCCCGUGUACUUUAAAUCAUCUCUAAUUACUUAUAAUACAAUGUAAAUGCUAUGCAAAUAGUUGUUAUACUGUAUUGUUUACGGAACAACGACAAGGAAAAAAAGUCAGUACCUGUGCAGUACCAUCCUAGGCCUUUUGAUCUGAGCUUGGUUGAAUCUGCAGAUGUGGACCUUUGGGUACGGAGGGCCAACUGUAUUGCUGGAGCCUUAAGCAGCCCUGGGACGGAAGACCUUGGGACAUAAGCGUGCUAUUAUCAGCUAGUGGCUGAUUGCAUGGACUCAUGGAGUCCAUGGACUCGUGGAGCAGAUGACUUUGAAACAAUCACUGACUUUCACUAUCAAUGUGCUCAUUGUAUCCGAGAAGUCAGAAGUGCUUUCCUUUACUACGCCAGGUACUAUGCUAGCUGUAGGGACAAGGAUAUGAGCUCUCUGCUCUCCAGUGUCCUAACACCUGGGAUGAGAAGGGGUGUGAAGAUGCAGCCCAGGCUGCUGGUCAACAAGAGUUUCUUAGGGUGGGGUGCAGUGGGGGUGCAGGGGCUGGGGGUGAUCAAGAGUUAGCUGUUGAAGCCCAGAGGCGGGCAAGGGGCGAUGGCUUCUGACAGGCACAAUCGGGGAGGGCUUCACGGGCAAGAUGGCAUUGAAGUUUGACUUAGAGACGUGGGGAUGAUUGCGAUAGACAGGGAUGGGUGGAUAUAUUCUGGGCUAAGGAAGGAACAGCAACGGGAAAGGCCUGAAGACAGGAACGCAUGGGUGUGACGAGGGAGCAGCCGGGCUCAGCUGGAAUGCAGCGUUUGGUGCACGGAAGGAAGGGGAAGGAGAUAAAACUGGAAAGGUUUGUUGGAACAGACUUCAGAGAAAUGGGAAAGAGGGAAGCCAAGGAUCCAGACCCGGUGAUUUGGGCCAGAGGACCUGGGCCCGAGCAGGGCACAGCCCCACCCUCGUGUUACCACCCCCUGUGGAGUGUCCACCCCCUGGAAGUGCCUCUGAGGGACAAGAGCAAUCACAGCCCGGAGGGACAGUGUCUCAUAGUGGCUAGGAGGGCCGCUUCUGGAGCCACCUGCAUGGGUGGAGGCCAGCAGCCUUAUGAAGCAGCCCUGUGACCUUGGGCAAGUCACUUUGCCUCUCGGAGCCCUGUUUGCUCAUCUGUAAGAUGGGGCCAGUAAUACUUAUCCCCGAGGAUUGGUGUGGGGAUUAAAUUAGUUGAUAGACUCAAAAGGCACAGCACAGAGCCAGUCACACAGCAAGGACGCCUGAGAUGCUAGUCUGUUGCAUAUUUAGCUGCUUAUUUCACUGCGCACCCUCUCCAGCUGUGGUCAGAGGAGGGGAGCCAAGUUUCAUUUGUGUGUUGGUUUACUUGAUUGUGGGAAGUUUAAGACUAAGGAAGACUAAGCUGAAAAUAUCAGUAACUUUAGGUGCCACUUAUUAACAGAUCCUGGUGACCAACUCUGUAUCGUAUCUGCUCUUCACGUGUCCAUUUCCUUCUACGUGGUGUUGGGAGAAGUUUGGGGUGGGAAGCUCGAUUCGCUCCUGGUCCCAAUUUUUCCAGGUCAGCCAUUCGCAAGGUGCCAAUCUGUGCCAGGCCUUGUCCCCUGUCCCUUGUUCCCUGAGCACAGGGAAUAUUAAUGAGUAAGCUGCAGCACUGCCCUAGGUGAGUGGCCAUCCUGGCCCCGAGCCUGAGGUUCUUGACUGUUCACUAUAACCCAGUGGGAUCUGUGCUGAGGAGUCUCAUGGGAAUCCCAGAGAGAGAGCACACCAGAGGUGACAGGAGAGGAGAGGAGAGGGCUGUCAUCUCAAAGGGGAAACAUCCUGAUUUGGCCUGUCUCAUGAAGUCAUUUUAUUGACUACAAUUUUCGACAUUCAGAUUGUCGUCUGGUUUUGUAGGUACAGCCAGAGGAAGGAUGCGACAAAGAGUACGUGAAAAGGGCGCCAGCCUGGCGCCCUGGCGCAAACAACCCUUCCUCAAACCUCUGUUGAAAUCCCCCAGUGCACAGAAGGAGGGGCGUGAGGCAAUGGGAUGAUAAUAAUAAUCGUGGCUGGUUUUUGAACACAUACUAUGUGUCAGGACUGUGUUAGGUAUUUUACAGAUUUUCGACUCUGCCACGGAGAGAAAACUGAGCUCAGAUACCAACACAUCCAGGAUCACGCAGCCCACCGUGGCCUGGCGUGGGCACCAGGGAGCUCACAGAAUGCCCACUGAACCUUAGAAGCCUAAGCUGAGACUUAUCCUGCGAGGACGAGGAAGGCUGAAGUAGACUGUCAGUCCUCGUUGUUCUCGCAUUCUAUAUUUGUGAACUUGCCUACUUGCUAAAGAUUUAUUUGUAAUCCCCACAUCAAUCCUCGAGGUGCUUCUGUGGUCAUUUCUAGACAUGCACAGAGUGGCGAAAAAGUUGAGUUGCCCAACAUGCAUCUUCCCAGCCGAGGACGACAAGGCCACGCUCCGCCUUCUUGUCUCCGUUCUUAUACCUUAAAUAAAGGUCCUUUUCAUGGUC